rnacentral:tRNA from 1 species
UAAAGAUUAGUUAAAUUAUAAUAUAAACUUGUCAUGUUUAAGUUAUCUUUAA